UACAGAGGUCCCAAGCGUUGUUCGGAUUCACUGGGCGUAAAGGGUGCGUAGGUGGGGAGGUAAGUCGGAUGUGAAAUCUCCGAGCUCAACUCGGAAAUGGCAUUGGAAACUACCUUGCUCGAGGGUUGGAGGGGGGACUGGAAUGCUUGGUGUAGCAGUGAAAUGCGUAGAUAUCAAGCGGAACACCAGUGGCGAAGGCGAGUCCCUGGACAACUCCUGACACUGAGGCACGAAAGCUAGGGGAGCAAACAGG
rnacentral:rRNA from 1 species